rnacentral:rRNA from 1 species
AGUGAACGCUGGCGGUAGGCCUAACACAUGCAAGUCGAACGGCAGCACAGUAAGAGCUUGCUCUUACGGGUGGCGAGUGGCGGACGGGUGAGGAAUACAUCGGAAUCUACUUUUUCGUGGGGGAUAACGUAGGGAAACUUACGCUAAUACCGCAUACGACCUACGGGUGAAAGCAGGGGAUCUUCGGACCUUGCGCGAUUGAAUGAGCCGAUGUCGGAUUAGCUAGUUGGCGGGGUAAGGGCCCACCAAGGCGACGAUCCGUAGCUGGUCUGAGAGGAUGAUCAGCCACACUGGAACUGAGACACGGUCCAGACUCCUACGGGAGGCAGCAGUGGGGAAUAUUGGACAAUGGGCGCAAGCCUGAUCCAGCCAUACCGCGUGGGUGAAGAAGGCCUUCGGGUUGUAAAGCCCUUUUGUUGGGAAGGAAAAGCAGCAGGUUAAUACCCCGCUGUUCUGACGGUACCCAAAGAAUAAGCACCGGCUAACUUCGUG